rnacentral:rRNA from 1 species
AGAGUUUGAUUCUGGCUCAGAACGAACGCUGGCGGCAGGCCUAAGUCAUGCAAGUUGAACGGCUGUAGCAAUACAGCAGUAGCGGACGGGUGAGUAAUGUAUGGGAACGUAUCUUCUAGUGGGGAAUAUUCUUUGGAAACGAAGAGCAAUACCGCAUGAGUCCUACGGGAGAAAGUCGCAAGACGCUAGAUGAGCGGCCCAUAUUGGAUUAGCUAGUUGGUUAGGUAAUGGCUGACCAAGGCAACGAUCCAUAGCUGGUCUAAGAGGACGAUCAGCCACAUUGGGACUGAGACACGGCCCAGACUCCUACGGGAGGCAGCAGUCAGGAAUAUUGGACAAUGGGGGCAACCCUGAAUCCAGCCAUGCCGCGUGAGUGUUAAGGUCUUCGGAUUGUAAAGCUCUUUUGUGUGGGAAAAUGGUGAUGGUACCACAAGAAUAAGCACCGGCUAACUUCGUGCCAGCCGCCGC